CAAAGGAGCAAUCCGCUGAAAGAUGGGCUCGCGUCCGAUUAGGUAGUUGGCGGGGCAACAGCCCACCAAGCCGACGAUCGGUAGCCGGACUGAGAGGUUGAACGGCCACAUUGGGACUGAGACACGGCCCAGACUCCUACGGGAGGCAGCAGUGAGGGAUAUUGGUCAAUGGGGGAAACCCUGAACCAGCAACGCCGCGUGAGGGAAGACGGUUUUCGGAUUGUAAACCUCUGUCCUCUGUGAAGAUGAUGACGGUAGCAGAGGAGGAAGCUCCGGCUAACUACGUGCCAGCAGCCGCGGUAAUACGUAGGGAGCAAGCGUUGUCCGGAUUUACUGGGUGUAAAGGGUGCGUAGGCGGCUUUGCAAGUCAGAAGUGAAAUCCAUGGGCUUAACCCAUGAACUGCUUUUGAAACUGCAGAGCUUGAGUGGAGUAGAGGUAGGCGGAAUUCCCGGUGUAGCGGUGAAAUGCGUAGAGAUCGGGAGGAACACCAGUGGCGAAGGCGGCCUGCUGGGCUCUAACUGACGCUGAGGCACGAAAGCGUGGGUAGCAAACAGGAUUAGAUACCCUGGUAGUCCACGCUGUAAACGAUGAUUACUAGGUGUGGGUGGACUGACCCCAUCC
rnacentral:rRNA from 1 species